UUUCUUGGGGGAAUAGUUCGGGGAAACUGGAUUAAUACCGCAUACGCCNUACGGGGGAAAGAUUUAUCGGGGAAGGAUUGGCCCGCGUUGGAUUAGCUAGUUGGUGGGGUAAAGGCCUACCAAGGCGACGAUCCAUAGCUGGUCUGAGAGGAUGAUCAGCCACAUUGGGACUGAGACACGGCCCAAACUCCUACGGGAGGCAGCAGUGGGGAAUAUUGGACAAUGGGCGCAAGCCUGAUCCAGCCAUGCCGCGUGAGUGAUGAAGGCCUUAGGGUUGUAAAGCUCUUUCACCGGAGAAGAUAAUGACGGUAU
rnacentral:rRNA from 1 species